AAGGGUAUAGCUCAGUGGUAGAGUGCAUACUUAGCAUGCACGAGUUUCUGGGUUCGGUCCCUAGUGCCCCCA
rnacentral:tRNA from 1 species